GACAACAUGUCUUGUUCUGGGCUCACACCUUCCACUUCUGUUUGUGUGCAGGGGGGAGGGACAUGUUCUUUCGGUCACAACAUCAAUAAUUUUGCAGUCAUUACAGGUGGAGGAGGGUUAACAACAUAUGAACUCAAGGAAAUCCCGACUGUGACUACUCUGGGACCAAGCCCAAACCAAGCCUUUUAAGAAAACAAACACUAGAAGCACACUUAAGGGCAGUCCAAACGCCAACCGACUCCUCCUCGCUAAACAGAAUGAAUAACAGAGAACCCACGCAACAGUCACUCAACACAACAGUCUGUGUUGAGAGUACAAUUCUACGCUUAAACAGAUGACCUUCAUUUCCUGGAAUGCAAAUUAGUUGCAUUUGUAGUCAUUCCUCUGAAAGACAUCAAGAAAAUACCAAGGCUACGGCCAAGUUGUGAAUUGUUUUCAAGUGUUUAUCAAGCUCUGAGUGUCUCUCAAUAUCAUACUGUAUCUGUGCUGUGAGUUGAUUGUAUAAGCAUUCAAGGACUGGGGGUGGAACGGAAUAACCAGACUGACCCCAGCGGACUGCUUGUCAUCACAUGUGGACUUUAUACUCAACUCAUGGUUUAACAGCAAUAGCAGACAAAAGACACUUACACAUAGGGGACUAUUACGU